ensembl:misc_RNA Metazoa_SRP Metazoan signal recognition particle RNA
GCUGGCCGCAGUGGCGCAUGCCUGUAGUCACAGCUACUUGGGAGGCUGAGGCUGGAGGAUCACUUGAGCCCAGGAGUUCUGGGCUGUAGUGUGCUGUGCUGAUCAGGUGUCCAUACUUAAGUUCUGCAUCAAUCUGGUGACCUCCCGGGAGCAGGGGAACACCAGGUUGCCUAAGAAGUUGUGAACCAGCCCAGGUUGUAAACGGAGCAGGUCAAAACUCCCAUGCUGAUCAGUAGUGGGAUCGUUCCUGUGAAUAGCCACUGCACUUCAGCCUUGGCAACAUAGCGAGACCCGUCUCUU